rnacentral:rRNA from 1 species
UACGUAGGGUCCGAGCGUUGUCCGGAAUUAUUGGGCGUAAAGAGCUCGUAGGCGGUCUGUCGCGUCGGCUGUGAAAACACGGGGCUCAACUCCGUGCCUGCAGUCGAUACGGGCAGACUAGAGUUCGGUAGGGGAGACUGGAAUUCCUGGUGUAGCGGUGAAAUGCGCAGAUAUCAGGAAGAACACCCGUGGCGAAGGCGGUUCUCUGGGACGGUACUGACGCUGAGACGCGAAAGCGUGGGGAGCGAACAGG